ensembl:lncRNA
AAAAAUUGGCCUUUAGAGCCUUUCUCCAGUGUAUGUGCUUCUCUGCCUGGGACUCCUGAUGGCCACCUCAGCCAGCACAGGAGCAAGUCUCUGAGGCUGUCCAGCUUGAUGGCAACCAGAAUCCCUUGUUAAAGAUAUAGUCACCUCCUGUUUCUGUUGGUACUUCACUGGAAGAGUCUCCAACAGGCUGGACAAGUUUCUACCCAUCAUGGCAUUCUUCACCAUUUCAAAGCUUGUCAGGGGCAGGUGUCGGCAGUAUAGCUGGAACCUUCCCACCGUUAUUCCUUUACAUGUUGUUGCUGUAUGACAGAUGGCAGCAGAGGGGCAGUGUGACAGAAUGGCAUCUGACAUGGAAGUGUGGAUGAAGCAAAGGUGUGCCACUCAGUUCCUCCAUACAGGAAAAUAUUAUAUCCCUUGAUAUUCAGUGAUGCUUGCUGAAUGUUUCUGGAGACCAAACAGUGGAUAUGAGUUCAGUGAAGAGGUGGGUGGUGCAUUUCAGCAGUGGUGAAAGUGAAUCACUUCCACUGGCACAGGAAUUUAUGAAUGCAUCAUGCAGGCAUUUAUUCAUCUCUGGCAAAAACGUGCAGCUAAUGGUGGUGACUACAUGGAAAAAAAGACUGUUCUGUUGCUGAGGAUUUUCUCUAUGAAAUGGUGUUAUUCUAAUCUUUGUAUCUGUUGUAGUUUCCAUGGAAAUAAAUAGGAGGCAUGACUUUCAGAGCAACCUUUAUAUGUUCCCUAGUGAUAAAACAUGCAAUAUAGAGUCUGAAAUUUAAAAUUGGUUAACUUCCUGGACUAAAGUGUUACACUUUACAACCUGUAAAUGCUCCAAGUGGAAAUAAAUCCUGUGUGAUGUGAUAUGAUCUUGCAGCAUAUGCAUAUUCUAGUCUCAGUUCAGCAAGGCACUUAGUUUUGCAGAUGUUUUGUCUUGCAUGCAUAUUGUCAACUCAGCAGGGGUAUUUGCCUAGUUAAAUGUAAGGAUGUGUUUGAGUGCUCUACUAGAUGAGAUUUGGAGCAGUCCUCCCCUAUCAAGAUCCUGCUUACUGUGAAUAACGCAGCAGGCUCCACAAGGCAGAGACAACCCGGUCACGCUGGAAAGCACUGACUUACUCACCAGAAGCUCUAAAGUUACAACAACAGCUCAGUUAUGAAUGCUCCUACCAGGCUACAAAUAUGUACCUAACAGACAGAAGAGUAUAUAUGUGCAGAACAGUGCAGUGCACCUGAUUCCUUAAUUCUGUCUUAAAGAUUAAUAGGAUAAAGAUUUCAAAAGACAGACUUCUAGCUAUUGACAGUCCCUGGUUUCUUGCAGGCUGGACUAACAGGUCACUGUUGCACAAACGCAGAUGCUCCCAGCACCACUAAAUGUCAGUAGAUUGCCUUCUGUUAGAGUCUCGCCACCAAUUGUGUUUCUCCUAAAGAAAUCAUUCCAUCCUUUGUUUAGGAAUCGGUGAAGUUCAUCUAUACAUCUUCUACUCUUGACUUGCCAAUUAUUACUCUUGACUGCAAAUUAUUUCUUUCAUUCUAAAACGUAAUCUUCUUUAAAAAAAAAAAAAAAGGUGAAAUAGUUUUC